AUAGAGACUUAAAGCCAGAGAAUAUAUUAUUAGAUGAAGAUGGGAAUGUUAAAGUGUCUGAUUUCGGUCUAAGUGCUAUUUCUGAACAGAUAAAACAAGACGGGUUGUUCCACACUUUCUGUGGUACCCCUGCUUAUGUUGCGCCUGAGGUUUUGGGUGGGAAAGGGUAUGAUGGGGCUAAAGUUGAUAUUUGGUCAUGUGGGGUCAUACUUUUUGUGUUAAUGGCAGGCUACUUACCAUUUCAUGACCAGAAUGUUAUGGCUAUGUAUAAGAAGAUUUACAAAGGUGAAUUUAGAUGUCCUAGAUGGUUUUCCUCUGAAUUGGAUCGUUUCUUAACUCGACUUCUACCUGAGGUUUUGGGUAGGAAAGGAUAUGAUGGGGCUAAAGUUGAUAUUUGGUCAUGUGGGGUCAUACUUUUUGUGUUAAUGGCAGGGUACUUACCAUUUCAUGACCAGAAUGUUAUGGCUAUGUAUAAGA
rnacentral:lncRNA from 1 species